rnacentral:rRNA from 1 species
UACGGAGGGGGCUAGCGUUGUUCGGAAUUACUGGGCGUAAAGCGCACGUAGGCGGCUUUGUAAGUUAGAGGUGAAAGCCCGGGGCUCAACUCCGGAAUUGCCUUUAAGACUGCAUCGCUAGAAUUGUGGAGAGGUAAGUGGAAUUCCGAGUGUAGAGGUGAAAUUCGUAGAUAUUCGGAAGAACACCAGUGGCGAAGGCGACCAUCUGGACGGAUACUGACGCUGAGACGCGAAAGCGUGGGGAGCAAACAGG